rnacentral:rRNA from 5 species
CAGGUUUCCGUAGGUGAACCUGCGGAAGGAUCAUUG